rnacentral:rRNA from 1 species
AGAUUGAACGCUGGCGGCAUGCUUUACACAUGCAAGUCGAACGGGGUGGUGGGGCAACCCGCCAUUCAGUGGCGAACGGGUGAGUAAUACAUCGGAACGUGUCCCGUAGUGGGGGAUAACACGGCGAAAGCCGGACUAAUACCGCAUAUGCUCUACGGAGGAAAGCGGGGGACCUGAAAGGGCCUCGCGCUAUGGGAGCGGCCGAUGUCCGAUUAGCUUGUUGGUGGGUAAUGGCCUACCAAGGCGACGAUCGGUAGCUGGUCUGAGAGGAUGAUCAGCCACACUGGGACUGAGACACGGCCCAGACUCCACGGGAGGCAGCGAGUGGGGAAUAGUUGACGCAAGUGGGCGAAAGCCUGACGCAGGCGACGCCGCGUGGGACGAGGCCUGGUUGUAACCGUCUUCAGCAGGAAGAAGCGAAGUAGACGGACCUGCGAGAA